rnacentral:lncRNA from 1 species
CGGGGAAGGGCUCUGGGCCCCACCUGAGGAACAGAGCAGAUGUUGCUUGCAAGUGGCUUCCUGUUUCAUGGAGCAUUUCCGCCUGUAAAAUGGCAUCUGAAAAGACCGAGCUGAGCACAGAGCCCUAGGACCUGUCACUGUCACUAGAGACCUCCCUUCAGCUUCCAGAACCACUUGGAGGGACCAGGAAGUCUGUGACUGUGCCACGUGGCACCAUGAAGUCCCCAUCCUCCUGGACCCAAAUGCCUGUUCACAGACCUCUUGAAUUCCAUCCAUGGACCCUGGCCACCCCUUGUGUCACAUUUCCUUAAGAAACCACUGCUAAUCCGGUCCAGACUGUUGAGGGAGGAAGAAACUCAAAUGGUAUCCAAACUCAGGACACACUGCCACAUGUGUG